rnacentral:rRNA from 1 species
AACGAACGCUGGCGGCAGGCUUAACGCAUGCAAGUCGAGCGCCCCGCAAGGGGAGCGGCAGACGGGUGAGUAACGCGUGGGAACGUACCUUUUGGUUCGGAACAACUCCGGGAAACUGGAGCUAAUACCGGAUAAGCCCUAACGGGGAAAGAUUUAUCGCCGAAAGAUCGGCCCGCGUCUGAUUAGCUAGUUGGUGAGGUAACGGCUCACCAAGGCGACGAUCAGUAGCUGGUCUGAGAGGAUGAUCAGCCACACUGGGACUGAGACACGGCCCAGACUCCUACGGGAAGCAGCAGUGGGGAAUAUUGGACAAUGGGCGCAAGCCUGAUCCAGCCAUGCCGCGUGAGUGAUGAAGGCCUUAGGGUUGUAAAGCUCUUUUGUCCGGGAAGAUAAUGACUGUACCGGAAGAAUAAGCCCCGGCUAACUUCGUG